GGGUCAGUAGCUCAGCUGGGAGAGCGCCAGCUUUGCAAGCUGGAAGUCGCAGGUUCGAGCCCUGUCUGAUCCA
rnacentral:tRNA from 1 species